rnacentral:rRNA from 1 species
GAUGAACGCUGGCGGCGUGCCUAAUACAUGCAAGUCGAGCGAACAGAUGAGGAGCUUGCUCCUCUGACGUUAGCGGCGGACGGGUGAGUAACACGUGGAUAACCUACCUAUAAGACUGGGAUAACUUCGGGAAACCGGAGCUAAUACCGGAUAAUAUAUUGAACCGCAUGGUUCAAUAGUGAAAGACGGUUUUGCUGUCACUUAUAGAUGGAUCCGCGCCGCAUUAGCUAGUUGGUAAGGUAACGGCUUACCAAGGCAACGAUGCGUAGCCGACCUGAGAGGGUGAUCCGCCACACUGGGACUGAGACACGGUCCAGACUCCUACGGGAGGCAGCAAGAGGGAAACUUCCGCAAUGGGCGGAAAGCCUGACGGAGCAACGCCGCGUGAGUGAUGAAGGUCUUCGGAUCGUAAAACUCUGUUAUUAGGGAAGAACAAAUGUGUAAGUAACUAUGCACGUCUUGACGGUACCUAAUCAGAAAGCCACGGCUAACUACGUG